UUUAUGAGAGUUUGAUCCUGGCUCAGGACGAACGCUGGCGGCGUGCCUAAUACAUGCAAGUAGAACGCUGAAGUCUGGUGCUUGCACUAGACGGAUGAGUUGCGAACGGGUGAGUAACGCGUAGGUAACCUGCCUCAUAGCGGGGGAUAACUAUUGGAAACGAUAGCUAAUACCGCAUAACAGUAUUUACUGCAUGGUAGAUACUUGAAAGGAGCAAUUGCUUCACUAUGAGAUGGACCUGCGUUGUAUUAGCUAGUUGGUGAGGUAACGGCUCACCAAGGCAUCG
rnacentral:rRNA from 1 species